rnacentral:rRNA from 1 species
GAUGAACGCUGGCGGCGUGCUUAAUACAUGCAAGUCGAGCGAACAGACGAGGAGCUUGCUCCUCUGACGUUAGCGGCGGCGGGGUGAGUAACACGUGGAUAACCUACCUAUAAGACUGGGAUAACUUCGGGAAAACGGUGCUAAUACCGCAUAAUAUAUUGAACCGCAUGGUUCAAUAGUCUAAGACGGUUUUGCUGUCACUUAUAGAUGGAUCCGCGCCGCAUUAGCUAGUUGGUAAGGUAACGGCUUACCAAGGCGACGAUGCGUAGCCGACCUGAGAGGAUGAUCGGCCACACUGGAACUGAGACACGGUCCAGACUCCUACGGGAGGCAGCAGUAGGGAAUCUUCCGCAAUGGGCGAAAGCCUGACGGAGCAACGCCGCGUGGGUGAUGAAGGUCUUCGGAUCGUAAAGCUCUGUUAUUGGGGAAGAACAAAUGUGUAAGUAACUAUGCACGUCUUGACGGUACCUAAACAGAAAGCCACGGCUAACUACGUG